GACGAACGCUGGCGGCGCGCCUAACACAUGCAAGUCGAACGGAGUCAAGAGGAGCUUGCUUUUCUUGACUUAGUGGCGAACGGGUGAGUAACGCGUGAGUAACCUGCCCUGGAGUGGGGGACAACAGUUGGAAACGACUGCUAAUACCGCAUAAGCCCACGGAUCCGCAUGGAUCUGCGGGAAAAGGAUUUAUUCGCUUCAGGAUGGACUCGCGUCCAAUUAGCUAGUUGGUGAGGUAACGGCCCACCAAGGCGACGAUUGGUAGCCGGACUGAGAGGUUGAACGGCCACAUUGGGACUGAGACACGGCCCAGACUCCUACGGGAGGCAGCAGUGGGGGAUAUUGCACAAUGGGGGAAACCCUGAUGCAGCGACGCCGCGUGGAGGAAGAAGGUUUUCGGAUUGUAAACUCCUGUCGUUAGGGACGAUAAUGACGGUACCUAACAAGAAAGCACCGGCUA
rnacentral:rRNA from 1 species